UACGUAGGUGACCAGCGUUGUCCGGAUUUACUGGGCGUAAAGAGCGCGCAGGCGGUCGUUCAAGUCGAGUGUGAAAGCCCCCGGCUCAACUGGGGAGGGUCACUCGAUACUGAUCGACUUGAAGGCAGGAGAGGGAAGCGGAAUUCCCGGUGUAGUGGUGAAAUGCGUAGAUAUCGGGAGGAACACCAGUGGCGAAGGCGGCAUCCUGGACCGGCAUUGACGCUGAGGCGCGAAAGCUAGGGGAGCAAACGGG
rnacentral:rRNA from 1 species